rnacentral:rRNA from 1 species
CCUAGGGGGGCGGCAGUAGGGAAUUUUGCGCAAUGGACGAAAGUCUGACGCAGCAACGCCGCGUGAGGGAUGAAGGUCUUCGGAUUGUAAACCUCUGUUGAAUGGGAAAAAAGGUAGCAAUAUUUGAUGGUACCAUUUGAGGAAGCACCGGCUAACUACGUGCCAGCAGCCCCGGUC